UACAGAGGUCCCGAGCGUUGUUCGGAUUCACUGGGCGUAAAGGGUGCGUAGGUGGUGAGGUAAGUCGGAUGUGAAAUCUCCGGGCUCAACCCGGAAAUGGCAUUGGAAACUACCUCGCUGGAGGAUUUGAGGGGGGAUUGGAAUACUUGGUGUAGCAGUGAAAUGCGUAGAUAUCAAGUGGAACACCAGUGGCGAAGGCGAAUCCCUGGAAAAUACCUGACACUGAGGCACGAAAGCUAGGGGAGCAAACAGG
rnacentral:rRNA from 1 species